GACGAACGCUGGCGGCGUGCCUAAUACAUGCAAGUAGGACGCAGUUGCGAACGGGUGAGUAACGCGUAGGUUACUGCCUAUUAGAGGGGGAUAACUAUUGGCAACGAUAGCUAAUACCGCAAAUUAGCAGAUGGAACUGCGUUGUAUUAGCUUGUAGGUAGGGUAAUGUCCUACCUAGGCGACGAUACAUAGCCGACCUGAGGGGGUGAACGGCCACACUUGGACUUAUAAGCGGUCCUGACUCCUACGGGAGGCAGCAGUAGGGAAUCGUGGGCAAUGGGUGGAACCCUGACCGAGCAACGCCGCGGGAGUGAAGAAGGUUUUCGGAUCGAAAAGCUCUGUUGUUAAGGAAGCGGUACUUAACCAGAAAGGGACGGCUAACUACGUGCCAGCAGCCGCGGUAAUAC
rnacentral:rRNA from 1 species